AAUAGUUGGCCCACCUGUGAGCUGGGGCUGCAGGAGCUCAUAAAAGCAGAGCAAGCUGCUCUUGCCUGGGAGCCUUUUUGCAUCAAGUUUUCUCCCUUUUUUCUGGAAGUUAAACUCGGAGGAAGCUCAAGAAUUUGGGACAGCAGGCGAGAAGGAAAGAAAGAGGGCGAGAGUCGGGUUAUCUCAUUACCCAUCCGGACCCCGGAACGGGACACGCGCCUGAAUCUGCUCUUCCCCAGCAGUUCAAGGAGGGAGGGUCGCCCGUUUUCCAUAUUAAUGGCAAAAUUACAGCCCUCCCCUCCCCACACACACCUCCUGCAUAUCUCCCUCAGCACGCUGCGGUUAAUAACUCACACUUCAUUAGCAUGUCUGUGCGGCCUCGCAGGUGCUUCCCUUCUGCCGAUGAAGAGAUACCGGGGAGGCUUAGAGGGCUGGGAAUUGGGGCAGGACAAGCCGAAACAGCUGCUGAGAUCAAUUGGGCUGGAUGGGAAGCUAAUGAGCUUUCGGCGCGUGGGACUUCUCAGUGCUCCCGUGCAUAUUUGCUGUGGCAGCCAGCGCAGAGCAAAGGCACCAGGGGGUCACAGCUCCUCGAGAGCUGGGAGGGAAGCAGAGAAGACCCCACCAGCAGCAGAGAUGGUUGUAUUAUCCCACUGCCCAAGGAGCUGGACCAGGGCAGGAAGCCUUUGGUGGCCAUCACAGCCCUCUGCCCGGCUGGAGCAAGGUUCGUGGGGACACCGAAGCCCAUCUGAGCAUCAGUUGUUGGCACAAGGAGCUGCUCCUCCUUGCACAACCCCAGUGGCCAUCAUCAGUGCCCUGCAUUUGUAGGAGAAGCACCAAACUGGCACGUUGUGAAGCUCCAAGCCACCAGCAGGAGCAGCUUUGAAGAAGGGGGUUAAAUGAAGCCCACCCUGGGAGGAGCUGGCCGUACAAGUCCUCCUGCCUGCGUAAAGAAUUUUACAUCGGGAAACUCGUCUCUCGAGCUCGGUUCUCCACACACUGAAACAUUAAUCAACUUUUGAACCAUGUUCCGUAUGAAAUAUUCAUCUUUUCUCCUUGUGAAAAACAAACCAGAACCCCCAGCUAUCUUCAAAGCUGUCUUGUGGCGCUCCAUGCUCUGAUCCUUUAGGAAUUGCUGUGUCAUUUCCACCUAGGUUUAUUCUGUGACUGCUGGAGAGAGAGCUAAAAAUCACUUCCAGAGUGACUUAGCUGGUGUGUCUGGCUUUGCGAGACAAAUGCUUUUUGGCUUAGAAUUUGCUGGCCAGGCCCCGGCCGGUUAUAUUUCCAUUAAGGAGAGAAAAAGGGUUUAAUGCCAUUUUCAAACCUAAUUUCAUGGGUAGCCAAUUCACGCUGUGAUCCAGUGGCAGGUGAUUUCUUUAUUAAAACGUCUGAAAAGAAGGCUGCUUAAAUCAGCCAUCCUUGAAAGGGGAAAGACCAUCCUGCCAGCCUGCCAGCCCUUCAAAGGCCAGAAGUGUUUUCGGGAAGCACGGGAGCCAUGAACCUCGUAGGGAUGAUCCUGCCUUUCAUGGAGACGUGCGAACACAGCCCCAGCAUGGAUCUUCCUCUGAAACUUACUCAGCUACGUGCCCUUGGAUAACAGCCUUUUCCCUAACAAAUAACUGCUAAAAAAAAAAAAAAAUGGCAUAAGAAAAAGUAAUAAAAGGGGAAAAGAAAAAAUCCAUUAUAAAAUGUAGCUUCCAUUAGCAGACCUUAAGGCACUUUUAGAAACGUUGAGUGAAUGGAGUCUUUCCCUUGCCCUAUCUGGGGUAAACAAAUCCAUCCUGUCCUUCAGCUUGAUCUUGCAGUAAUGUCAUAAUCCCACCUUUAUUACAUCACUGUUGUCAUGGAAAUAACUGUGAUUUCAUAAAGUCUCCAUAAUGACUUUACCACAAGAUCCAUUAGGAUGGGAAGAUGGAUUGUGAAGGCUAGAAAAAUGCUUUCUUUAAGCAAAUGCAUGCUGGAUAAUUAGCAAAUGCAGCAAGGGGAAAGAAUGGAAAUUUGAUGGAGAUAAAUAAAUGGAUCCAUCCUUAACAUGGGCUAU